AUUAUUUUCGUAGGCUUUUUCGCUGCUAGUAUAGUUGGUAGAAAUAUAAUACGUAUUUUUUAGCUUUCAUCGAAAAAUGAUAAAAAAAUAGAAUUUAUUUCUACAACGUAGAGUUGUUUGAGAAUAAUAUUUUUAUAUUCAACACACUUCUUAAUAUCUCGACUUAAAACUUUCUGAAAGAUAUAAGAUGUGGUUGAUU
rnacentral:lncRNA from 1 species